rnacentral:rRNA from 1 species
CCUACGGGUGGCAGCAGUGAGGAAUAUUGGUCAAUGGACGCAAGUCUGAACCAGCCAUGCCGCGUGCAGGAAGACGGCUCUAUGAGUUGUAAACUGCUUUUGUACGAGGGUAAACGCAGAUACGCGUAUCUGUCUGAAAGUACCGUACGAAUAAGGAUCGGCUAACUCCGUGCCAGCAGCCGCGGUAAUACGGAGGAUUCAAGCGUUAUCCGGAUUUAUUGGGUUUAAAGGGUGCGUAGGCGGUCUGAUAAGUUAGAGGUGAAAUCCCGAGGCUUAACUUCGGAAUUGCCUCUGAUACUGUUCGUCUAGAGAGUAGAUGCGGUAGGCGGAAUGUAUGGUGUAGCGGUGAAAUGCUUAGAGAUCAUACAGAACACCGAUUGCGAAGGCAGCUUACCAAGCUACUUCUGACGUUGAGGCACGAAAGCGUGGGGAGCAAACAGGAUUAGAUACCCCAGUAGUC